CUAGAAACAUGUCUGACAAAAGAGUUACUUUGAUAGAGUAAAUAAUAGAGGCCUUAAUCCCCUUGUUUC
rnacentral:tRNA from 1 species